AUAUUUAGAAAUGCGCCUAUUGGUUGCCUCGUUAAAAACCUUGCAAGGAAAACCCAGUGGGACAAAACCUUGUAAGGGAAAAAGAGGGCAACGCACAUUAACUCCCCCUGAGAGAGCAUCAAUUCACAUCCUUGAGCCUUCGCAUUCCAAUUUUGUCCACCAUCUUCAAGAGAUCGUUGGUAGAGAUUUGAUAAAUAAAUCAGCCAUAUUAACUAUAAUAAAUAUUUGCAACUUGAAAUCAUAACUCGUGAUAGACAUAUAAUGUCUUCACAAAUAUCGUGGAAUGGCUCUUCAAUAUCUCCAUAAAGGUAACCUCGUUAUCACAUUAUCAUGCUUAUAGUUAUAGCAAGAUAUAGAUGUGCACAAAUUGCACUUAGCAUGUGGUACUUCAAGACCAAAAAUUAUAUA
rnacentral:lncRNA from 1 species